rnacentral:rRNA from 1 species
GACGAAGGUGGCGAGCGUUGUUCGGAAUCACUGGGCAUAAAGCGCACGUAGGCGGUGGCGUAAGUCGGGUGUGAAAUCCCUCGGCCUAACCGAGGAACUGCGCCCGAUACUGCGUUGCUUGAGGACCAAAGGGGUGCAUGGAAUUUCCGGUGGAGCGGUGAAAUGCGUUGAUAUCGGAAGGAACGUCGGCGGCGAAAGCGGUGCACUGGUUGGUCUCUGACGCUGAGGUGCGAAAGCCAGGGGAGCAAAC